rnacentral:lncRNA from 1 species
UGGAGGAGGAGGAAGAGCAAAGGGAAGAGUGAAGAAGAAGAGGAGGAAGAGGAAUGGCAAAGGGAAGAGAGAGAAGAGGGAGAAGGAAGAAGAGGAGGAGAUUAUGCACGACACUUGUUAAAAUUGGAACACUGAGACGGUAUUAGCAGCCCAGUUCUUCAUUUGAGAAGACCAAAGCACAGAGGGGCUAAGUGAUUUGCCCGGGCCCACACAGCUGGGUUGUUGCUGAGCCAGCAUUUGAAACCAGGUUCCAGAGGUAGGGGCUGUGUGUGUGGCUGACCACUAUAACUCAUGGCACGAUGAUCCUUCCUACCCUAGGCUACAUCCUUGAAUCUCAGCUUGGACUUGGUAUCAUUCAGAGUCCUACCAAGAGAAUCAAAACCACUUCAGGGCCUCCACCACCAGUCUCUCAUGAAUGACUCUCCUUGUCAGGGCCCAGAUGGAAGCCAGCUGACAUGCAAGCCUGGGAACUGCAGCCUGCAGAGAUCAACAACCCCACGGAGUCACAGAGCAGAGCAGGUGUGACUAAGACGUGUUAAGGAUCUUGAAAAGAGAGACUGAAGCUGGGUUUUCUGGAUGGGCUUCAUAGACAGACACACAGAAGAAAAGGCAAUGUGAAGACAAGACAGAGGCCGGAUGGAGGUGAUGCCACCACAAGCCAAGGAAUGCUGGCAGCUGCUAGAAGCUGGAGGAGACGGGGAACAAAUUCUCUGCUAGAGCCUCCAGAGGAAAGACAGCCCUGUUCACAUCUUGAUUUCAGAAGUCUGGCCUCCAGAACUGCGAAAGAAUACGUGACUGUUAUCUUAAGCUACAAGCUGACCUCCUUGAGGGCAGAAUUAGAUCUUGGAGAGAGAGCGCCCUAGUUCUCAACAUUGUGACGGGUAUAUAAUGGAUGACAAAUAAAUAUUAACUUGA